CCCCGUAGCCAACUAAACGUUUCCUGUCCACCCCCCAAAUUUCUUGCGCCACACCUCCCUCUAUCGUCACAUGAUAUCUUCCUCUUCAGCAUAACAAAUGCAUAACCACCAACAUCUUUUCAUUCAUGUCAUUUGUCGUCUGGUCUUCAGCCGAGCUUCAUGGCAGGGAGCGUUGGUUGGACAUCAUCAGUUGUCUUUGGACAAUCCGAACGGGAACAUUUGCACCUAGUCCCGAAGGCUGAAGCAAAGCUUGCUGAAAUUAAUCAUCCACUAGCGCUUUGAUGCCUGCAUUGCAUGCUUAGACUGGAAAUCUAAUUCAAGUCCUCCCAUGGUCCUCUGGACAUCUGUGCAAUCUCCAAGCGACACCUAUCUUCAACGAGAGGGACUUUAUCUGAUGUACAAAGCUGCCAGGGUUAUCUUGCCCUCAAUCUCCCAAAACCCAUCCGUCGAUGGCAUGGAUCCCACAGCUGGAAGUGCUACCUGAUGAAGUGAUGAGAGAAGUGAAGCAGUUUUAAGACCUCUUUGUAAUCAUCAGACAUUCAAAUAGUGAACUGCACCAUUCUGCUUAAACUUCCCCGAAUUUGAUCUCAAAUUGCAAACUCAAAAGCAGGCUUCUUUGAACCUUAAACAAAUCCCCUGAUCACCCAACCACCUGUCAAGUCUGCAGCAUUUUAGCGGCGGAACUCUAAUUGGAACUCUAAUAUUCACAAAGCAUAGGCUUAAUAGCUUGAAUCGUGUUAGGCUCUGCAUCAAUGAGGUGACAUAAAAUGGGGUUGGGGAGACCCUAGGUGUGUUUAACGUCUUUCUUAAAGAUGUCAAAACUUCUUUUUGAACCCCAAGAGUAUGCCAACCUUUGAAAGAUUUUAAAAUUAUUUUUGUAUUGAUUAUCAGGUUACUAAUGAAAACUCAGAGCACUUCCUCAGCAGUUGUUUAAACUUUGUCCCGUGUUAUUGGUGUGUGCAGCCAAAGUAUCUUUGCUACAAAAAUCUAAAAUUAUACAGCUAUGGGAAAUAUCUGAC